GGAAAAAGAAGGCUGUGUUUUUCUCUGGUGCCCCCGCGUGAUGGGCGGGAGCUCAAUCGCAAACGUCGCUAGUCCUGGAAACAGGCAAGGAAAGAGGAAAAGAAUCCAUUCACUACACCAAAUUCAGGAUAAAGAUUCUGCCGGUGGAGCGCUCCCGACCACCUUUUCUUUGGUGCUGCCUGACUCAAAUCACGCUCGGGCUGGUUUCCCACGGCUGAACUUCUGAAGACAGGCCUCACGACGUGCAAAUGGCACACUUUCUAGAAAACAGGUGGUGUAUGAGACCCUCGCUUUUAGGAUCCAAGUGUAAUUCUUGGACCAUGACAACAGCUGGGGAAGGGAUGUCAGAGGUUCUUCCCUAGCUCCCUCUGGGGGCUCAGGCCCCAAAACACAUCUCUGUGACAUGUUCCCCCUGCUGGAUCUGACGUCACCACAGCUGGAAAACCACCUGGGCCAGUGUGGUGGAGUUCACCCCAUCCAAAUUCCUCUGUUUACAUGGGGGGCUGAGGCCCAGAGAUGUAGAGGUCAUGCCCAAAUGAGGUAAGUGGCAGAGCCAGUGUCUCUAGUGAGAGCAGCUGGUGGCCUCAGCAUGUGGAGGUGGAAACAGAAGCGGCAAAGAAGAGAAGACUUGGCCAGCACCUGCUUAGCACUUACUGAACAUCUACUGUCCUGUGUGACUUCCCCUUGUCCUCAGUGUCUCUAGGAAUUAUGGGUUAUCACAACUCCACUUUUCAGAUGGGGAAACUGAAGCUUAGUGUGGUUGGCCUGUAUGGUGUAAGUCAGAUCUCACCACCCCAGAGCCCAUGCCGGUUCCAUCCUGCUGGGCUGUCAGA